rnacentral:rRNA from 1 species
GACGAACGCUGGCGGCGUGCUUAACACAUGCAAGUCGAACGCUGAAGCUCAGCUUUUGUUGGGUGGAUGAGUGGCGAACGGGUGAGUAACACGUGAGUAACCUGCCCCCUUCUUUGGGAUAACGCCCGGAAACGGGUGCUAAUACUGGAUAUUCACUGGUCUUCGCAUGGGGGUUGGUGGAAAGGGUUUUUCUGGUGGGGGAUGGGCUCGCGGCCUAUCAGCUUGUUGGUGGGGUGAUGGCCUACCAAGGCUUUGACGGGUAGCCGGCCUGAGAGGGUGACCGGUCACAGUGGGACUGAGAUACGGCCCAGACUCAUACGGGAGGCAGCAGUGGGGAAUAUUGCACAAUGGGCGCAAGCCUGAUGCAGCGACGCCGCGUGAGGGAUGGAGGCCUUCGGGUUGUGAACCUCUUUCGCUCAUGGUCAAGCCGCAACAAUGGUUGUGGUGAGGGUAGUGGGUAAAGAAGCGCCGGCUAACUACGUG